rnacentral:ncRNA from 2 species
UCACCGGCGCUGUGGUGCAGUCCUCGUCGACGGCAGUGGAGGAAGUCCGGUGCGAAUCCGGCGCGGUCCCGCCACUGUCACCGGGGAGCACGAACGCCCACUCGGUGAUCCGGGAGCCAGGAGACUUCCUGCCGUCGUCGACACCCC